CAGCACCGCCGCGGGAAUACAGAGGGUGCGAGCGUUAAUCGGAUUUACUGGGCGUAAAGCGUGCGUAGGCGGCUUUUUAAGUCGGAUGUGAAAUCCCUGAGCUUAACUUAGGAAUUGCAUUCGAUACUGGGAAGCUAGAGUAUGGGAGAGGAUGGUAGAAUUCCAGGUGUAGCGGUGAAAUGCGUAGAGAUCUGGAGGAAUACCGAUGGCGAAGGCAGCCAUCUGGCCUAAUACUGACGCUGAGGUACGAAAGCAUGGGGAGCAAACAGGAUUAGAUACCCCGGUAGUCCCUGUCUCUUAUACC
rnacentral:rRNA from 1 species